rnacentral:rRNA from 1 species
AAAACGGAGAGUUUGAUCCUGGCUCAGGAUGAACGCUGGCGGCGUGCUUAACACAUGCAAGUCGAACGAACCUUCGGGUUAGUGGCGGACGGGUGAGUAACGCGUGAGAAUCUGCCCUCAGGAGGGGGAUAACAGUUGGAAACGACUGCUAAUACCCCAUAUGCCGAAAGGUGAAACGAAUUUCGCCUGGGGAUGAGCUCGCGUCUGAUUAGCUUGUUGGUGGGGUAACAGCCUACCAAGGCUUCGAUCAGUAGCUGGUCUGAGAGGACGAUCAGCCACACUGGGACUGAGACACGGCCCAGACU